AUCCUGGCCUCCAGAGCUGCAAAUAUGCUACAUUUGUUACAGGAACAGGAAGUGAUACUCUACCACAAAGUGAGCGAACACCACGUGACAGCGCCACCAAGAGGCAGGAGUGCAAGGCACUACAGGGGAAACAAUGUCUUCAACACAAAAGGACCAACAUGGAGCGAGAAGUCAGUGCUCUCAGGAGGCCGACAAACCUCACAGAAGAAAG